AUUGAACGCUGGCGGCAGGCCUAACACAUGCAAGUCGAGCGGAUGAAGGGAGCUUGCUCCUGGAUUCAGCGGCGGACGGGUGAGUAAUGCCUAGGAAUCUGCCUGGUAGUGGGGUAUAACGUCCGGAAACGGGCGCUAAUACCGCAUACGUCCUGAGGGAGAAAGUGGGGGAGCUUCGGACCUUACGCUAUCAGAUGAGCCUAGGUCGGAUUAGCUAGUUGGUGGGGUAAAGGCCUACCAAGGCGACGAUCCGUAACUGGUCUGAGAGGAUGAUCAGUCACACUGGAACUGAGACACGGUCCAGACUCCUACGGGAGGCAGCAGUGGGGAAUAUUGGACAAUGGGCGAAAGCCUGAUCCAGCCAUGCCGCGUGUGUGAAGAAGGUCUUCGGAUUGUAAAGCCCUUUAGGUUGGGAGGAAGGGCAGUAAGUUAAUACCUUGCUGUUUUGACGUUACCCACAGAAUAAGCACCGGCUAACUUCGUG
rnacentral:rRNA from 1 species